AAUAUUUGUUUUGAAAUGUGCUUCGUUGGGGGGUGUGGCUAUCAGAUUAAUAUGGGGAACGCAGUCUAUUUAAGGACCCUUAUUUUGACUAGUGGUGUUGUGUUUGUGGUGUCUGGGUCCUCUGCAACCUGGCGUGUCCCUUUUCGUUCCUGAUCCCUGUUAAGUUUAAUUCUAGUGGAGGUGACGGCAUGGACGUGUGGGCUAUUCUCGGCGGAGCGCGCUUUUAGUAUCAGCGGCGCUAGCGGGAUCAAAAGGCCGGCCGGUAGAUUGAGCUGCGGCAUCGGCGGUGAGUACUCAUGCAGCUUCGUGCGGGCGAUUUGUCUAAAC